GGCGCCAUCGUCCAGUUGGUUAGGACGUCUGUCUAGUAAUCCAGAAUUGAUGUGUUUAUCAAUUACCGAAGUAAACAGAAGGUCCCGGGUUCAAAUCCCGGUGGUGCCU
rnacentral:tRNA from 1 species